rnacentral:misc_RNA from 1 species
GAUGAAGAACGUAGCGAAAUGCGAUAAGUAAUGUGAAUUGCAGAAUUCAGUGAAUCAUCGAAUCUUUGAACGCAUCUUGCGCUCCUUGGUAUUCUGAGGAGCAUGCCUGUUUGAGUGUCAUUAAAUUCUCAACUACACUGACUUUGAAUUGGUGUGGCUUGGAUUUGGGGGGAAAAUUGUUGUGGGCUUUUUGUAUAGUCUGCUCCCCUGAAAUUGAUUAGCGGUACCUUUGUGGAACUGUCUACAGGUGUGAUAAUUAUCUACAUCUUAGACAUCUGCUGGAAUGCUGCUUUCUAAACCUUACUUGUAUUGACAAUCUUGACCUCAAAUCAGGUAGGACUACCCGCUGAUCUUAAGCAUAUCAAUAAGCGGAGGA